rnacentral:rRNA from 1 species
ACAGGCUUAACACAUGCAAGUCGAGGGGCAGCAUGGUCUUAGCUUGCUAAGGCCGAUGGCGACCGGCGCACGGGUGAGUAACACGUAUCCAACCUGCCGUCUACUCUUGGACAGCCUUCUGAAAGGAAGAUUAAUACAAGAUGGCAUCAUGAGUCCGCAUGUUCACAUGAUUAAAGGUAUUCCGGUAGACGAUGGGGAUGCGUUCCAUUAGAUAGUAGGCGGGGUAACGGCCCACCUAGUCUUCGAUGGAUAGGGGUUCUGAGAGGAAGGUCCCCCACAUUGGAACUGAGACACGGUCCAAACUCCUACGGGAGGCAGCAGUGAGGAAUAUUGGUCAAUGGGCGAGAGCCUGAACCAGCCAAGUAGCGUGAAGGAUGACUGCCCUAUGGGUUGUAAACUUCUUUUAUAAAGGAAUAAAGUCGGGUAUGGAUACCCGUUUGCAUGUACUUUAUGAAUAAGGAUCGGCUAACUCCGUGCCAGCAGCCGCGGUAAUACGGAGGAUCCGAGCGUUAUCCGGAUUUAUUGGGUUUAAAGGGAGCGUAGAUGGAUGUUUAAGUCAGUUGUGAAAGUUUGCGGCUCAACCGUAAAAUUGCAGUUGAUACUGGAUAUCUUGAGUGCAGUUGAGGCAGGCGGAAUUCGUGGUGUAGCGGUGAAAUGCUUAGAUAUCACGAAGAACUCCGAUUGCGAAGGCAGCCUGCUAAGCUGCAACUGACAUUGAGGCUCGAAAGUGUGGGUAUCAAACAGGAUUAGAUACCCUGGUAGUCCACACGGUAAACGAUGAAUACUCGCUGUUUGCGAUAUACUGCAAGCGGCCAAGCGAAAGCGUUAAGUAUUCCACCUGGGGAGUACGCCGGCAACGGUGAAACUCAAAGGAAUUGACGGGGGCCCGCACAAGCGGAGGAACAUGUGGUUUAAUUCGAUGAUACGCGAGGAACCUUACCCGGGCUUAAAUUGCAGAUGAAUUACGGUGAAAGCCGUAAGCCGCAAGGCAUCUGUGAAGGUGCUGCAUGGUUGUCGUCAGCUCGUGCCGUGAGGUGUCGGCUUAAGUGCCAUAACGAGCGCAACCCUUGUUGUCAGUUACUAACAGGUUCCGCUGAGGACUCUGACAAGACUGCCAUCGUAAGAUGUGAGGAAGGUGGGGAUGACGUCAAAUCAGCACGGCCCUUACGUCCGGGGCUACACACGUGUUACAAUGGGGGGUACAGAGGGCCGCUACCACGCGAGUGGAUGCCAAUCCCCAAAACCUCUCUCAGUUCGGACUGGAGUCUGCAACCCGACUCCACGAAGCUGGAUUCGCUAGUAAUCGCGCAUCAGCCACGGCGCGGUGAAUACGUUCCCGGGCCUUGUACACACCGCCCGUCAAGCCAUGGGAGCCGGGGGUACCUGAAGUGCGUAACCGCGAGGAGCGCCCUAGGGUAAAACUGGUGACUGGGGCUAAGUCAUA